CAGACCCGACCAAAGACCGGUAAAAUUUGCCGUACUUCUGCCGAGACUCAAGACGCGAAACUUUCGUGAGAAAGGUGCAAGUCAAGCAAGAUGUCCUAUCAGAGACGUGAAAAGGGACUCUGGUAUGCAGCUGCUGAAGGAGAUGAAGACAAGGUGAAGCGACUGCUCCUACAGUUUGUGGAUGUCAACUGUACCCCUUGGCUGAAUGGUGACACGCCACUUCACCAGGCAGCUACAGGAGGACAUGUUGGUGUUGCUGAACUCCUCCUAAAGACUGGAGCA